AGCGCAGGCGGUUUGAUAAGUCUGAAGUAAAAGGCUGUGGCUUAACCAUAGUAUGCUUUGGAAACUGUCAAACUUGAGUGCAGAAGGGGAGAGUGGAAUUCCAUGUGUAGCGGUGAAAUGCGUAGAUAUAUGGAGGAACACCGGUGGCGAAAGCGGCUUCCUGGCUCGUACCUGACGCUGAGACGCGAAAGCGUGGGGAGCAAACA
rnacentral:rRNA from 1 species